rnacentral:misc_RNA from 1 species
GAUUGGUCGAAAGACCUUAUCAGAUUCUACCACCUCUGUGAACCGUUGACCUCCGGGUUAAUAAUCAAACAUCAGUGUAACGAACGUAAGAGUAUCUUAAUUAAACAAAACUUUUAACAACGGAUCUCUUGGCUCUCGCAUCGAUGAAGAACGCAGCGAAAUGCGAUAAGUAAUGUGAAUUGCAGAAUUCAGUGAAUCAUCGAAUCUUUGAACGCACCUUGCGCCUUUUGGUAUUCCGAAAGGCAUGCCUGUUUCAGUGUCAUGAAAUCUCAAUCUAAUAUGUUUUCUGAACAUGUUAGCUUGGACUUGGGUGUCUGCCAGCAAUGGCUCACCUCAAAUGACUUAGUGGAACAUCCCACAUCAGUGUUAGACGUAAUAAGUUUCGUCUCUCCUUGUGGUGAUGACUGCUCAAAACCUGCCAUCGCGCACCUUUU